CUACACUCUGCAAUUCUGAAAGGCUUUUAAAGUUAAUUAACAGCCCUAGUGAGCUAGAGGUCCAGUAAUUCAGCUUUACCAUCAAUAUACACGUUCCCAGGAAGCAAAAUACGGGUUUAAGUGUGCUGCCAGUUAGUCUGUUUUUAAACUGAUAACAGUUGUUAUUGCUAUUUCACUUACGGCAUAUUCACUAACAGACGAAGUGGCCUUUCUGACCUUUAGAAACCAAUUAUUUCACCAAUGACAUUUAGGAACUGGGAAAAUACAAUUUUCAGAAAUCUCUCCAAGAGUAAUAUGAAAAUGCCAAAGAGGAGUUAAUCUAUUUCAUAGGUGAUUACAAGACUUUGAAACUUUAUUUUUUCCAAUUCAGAGGAGAAAAGUAAAAACUUCUGAAUAGUGGGACUGGUAUUCUCAGUCAACUGACAGAGGGGUCUUGGAGUUGUUCAAGCCAGGAGCCAGGUUGCUGGGAACAGGAACUUCUAGAGGUUUGGCUUCUGCACAGCACAUUGGUUAGACACUUGCCUGGUUUCUGCUGCAGUUCUGUCAGGGCUAACACAACACUGUAAAAUAAAUACCAAUAAAUUCUGUCAAACUAGGAAAUCCUGAUUAAAUAAUACUUCCUCUAGAGGUUUCCAAGCAAUCUGCUAAGAUUGUCCUUUGCUGUAACUGUGAUUUGAGAGGUUAGAGCCUAAUUCUAAGAUAACCAAUACAAAACAAAUUAUAAAUAUGCUUUCUUAUUUGUACCUUACAGAAAUAUUUUUGAGAAAGAAAUUUUUAAAAAAGAAUCUGAAAUUUAAGUUUUGUUCCCAAAUGAAUUGUAAAUCAAGGUGCAAUUUUGCAUAAAUCAACUAAAUAUGCAAACUUUAUUAUUUAUAGUGGAAAAAAAUGUCGUUUACUGCAUUUGUAACAUCUGUGACAACAGAUACUCUCUUCUAAUACAGUUUGUCUUUUUUUUGCUUAGGGUGAUAUGGGACUACCAGGAGCAAAGGGAGCUGUUGGUAAUCCUGGAGACCCUGGUUCCCGUGGGCCUGAGGGAAGUCGGGGACUGCCGGGCAUGGAAGGGCCACGAGGCUCACCUGGACCACGAGGCUUGCAGGGUGAACAGGGUGCCCCAGGUCUGCCUGGCAGCCAAGGUCCAGCUGUAAGUACUGUUUUCCUGUAAUUGGUAUCUUUUGAAUGCUUAGCUGUCACUCACACCACUCCUUUUUUUUUUUUAUUUUUAUUU
rnacentral:lncRNA from 1 species